rnacentral:rRNA from 1 species
GUAGGUGGCAAGCGUUGUCCGGAAUUAUUGGGGCGUAAAGCGCGCGCAGGCGGUUCUUUAAGUCUGAUGUGAAAGCCCACGGGCUCAACCGUGGAGGGUCAUUGGAAACUGGAGAACUUGAGUACAGAAGAGGAAAGCGGAAUUCCACGUGUAGCGGUGAAAUGCGUAGAGAUGUGGAGGAACACCAGUGGCGAAGGCGGCUCUCUGGUCUGUAACUGACGCUGAGGCGCGAAAGCGUGGGGAGCAAACAGGAUUAGAUACCCUGGUAGUCCACGCCGUAAACGAUGAGUGCUAAGUGUUAGGGGGUUUCCGCCCCUUAGUGCUGCAGCUAACGCAUUAAGCACUCCGCCUGGGGAGUACGGCCGCAAAGGCUG